AUAAAUGUAUCACACAAAAGAGUAUAAUAAAAGGUUUUGGUAAAGUCACUGUAUUCAAGAAAGCUGAUGAAACUGACGCUGUGGAAGCUAAUAAGAACAAAGGCAAUGCUUUCCGCCGCUGAUGAUAGCAAAUGUUGUUCCAAUACAACAAGGUUUUUGUAUUUUGAAAUGUAAAAUUAUAUGUCAAAGAAAACAGAUUUGUUAUAUGUUUCUGAUUCCAGGAUACGUUUGAGAGCAUCAGAUUCAUAAGCACGAAAA
rnacentral:lncRNA from 1 species